UGGGGAAUAUUGCACAAUGGGCGAAAGCCUGAUGCAGCAACGCCGCGUGAGUGAUGAAGGCCUUCGGGUUGUAAAGCUCUGUCUUUUGGGACGAUAAUGACGGUACCAAAGGAGGAAGCCACGGCUAACUACGUGCCAGCAGCCGCGGUAAUACGUAGGUGGCAAGCGUUGUCCGGAUUUACUGGGCGUAAAGGAUGCGUAGGCGGAUUUUUAAGCGAGAUGUGAAAUACCCGGGCUUAACUUGGGUGCUGCAUUUCAAACUGGGAAUCUAGAGUGCGGGAGAGGAGAAUGGAAUUCCUAGUGUAGCGGUGAAAUGCGUAGAGAUUAGGAAGAACACCAGUGGCGAAGGCGAUUCUCUGGACCGUAACUGACGCUGAGGCAUGAAAGCGUGGGUAGCAAACAGGAUUAGAUACCCUGGUAGUCCACGCCGUAAACGAUGAGUACUAGGUGUAGGAGGUAUCGACCCCUUCUGUGCCGCAGUUAACACAAUAAGUACUCCGCCUGGGAAGUACGAUCGCAAGAUUAAAACUCAAAUGAAUUGACGGGGUC
rnacentral:rRNA from 1 species